rnacentral:rRNA from 1 species
UACGUAGGGUGCAAGCGUUAAUCGGAAUUACUGGGCGUAAAGCGUGCGCAGGCGGUGAUGUAAGACAGUUGUGAAAUCCCCGGGCUUAACCUGGGAAUUGCAUUUGUGACUGCACGGCUAGAGUUUGGCAGAGGGGGGUAGAAUUCCACGUGUAGCAGUGAAAUGCGUAGAUAUGUGGAGGAAUACCGAUGGCGAAGGCAGCCACCUGGGUAAAGACUGACGCUCAUGCACGAAAGCGUGGGGAGCAAACAGG